GUGUGUUCCGAUGACAGCAAGGCAGGCGUGAAUAGAUUUUCGAUUGGUGACUUUGUUUUAAUUGAAAAUUAGGAACGCAAUCAGACGAAACUAGAUAUUAAGUAUAGAGGGCCAUUUCAAAUAAUUGAAGUUUUAGAUGGUGACCGAUAUGUUUUAAGGUCCUUGGCAAAUAAGCGCACCUAUGAGUACGCGCAUGAUCGAAUUAGAAAGAUGCCCGAAAGUCAGGUACCUAUUGAGAUUGUUGAGGAUAAUGAGGUGGAGAAUGAAGAAAUGUUGCCAUAGU